rfam:Gasterosteus aculeatus cont1.008145, whole genome shotgun sequence.
CCUGGGCAAAAAUGUGAGUCGCUUUGGUUAAAAGCGUCUGCUAAAUGACAUGUA